rnacentral:rRNA from 1 species
GCCUGGGUAAAUCGUGUAGCUUAACUAUACGAAUUCCGGGUAGACUGCCAAACUUGAGACCGGGAGAAGCUAGAGGUACUCCUUGGGUAGAGGUGAAAUUCUGUGAUCCUGGGGGGACCACCAGUGGCGAAGGCGUCUAGCUAGAACGGGUUUGACGGUGAGGAACGAAGCCCUGGGGCGCAAACCGGAUUAGAUACCCGGGUAGUCCAGGGUGUAAACGCUGCUUGCUUGAUGUUAGUUGGGCUCCGAGCCCAAUUAGUGUCGGAGAGAAGUUGUUAAGCAAGCUGCCUGGGAAGUACGAUCGCAAGAUUGAAACUUAAAGGAAUUGGCGGGGGAGCACAGCAACGGGUGGAGCGUGCGGUUUAAUUGGAUUCAACGCCGGAAAACUCACCGGAGGCGACGGUUACAUGAAGGCCAGGCUGAUGACCUUGCUUGAUUUUCCGAGAGGUGGUGCAUGGCCGCCGUCAGUUCGUACCGUAAGGCGUUCUGUUAAGUCAGAUAACGAACGAGACCCUCAUCUUUAAUUGUUACUAUUAAGUCCGCUUAAUAGGCACAUUAGAGAAACCGCUGGCGAUAAGUCAGAGGAAGGCGAGGGCAACGGUAGGUCAGUAUGCCCUGAAAUCCUCCGGGCUACACGCGCGCUACAAAGGCCAGGACAAUGGGCUUCGACACCGAGAGGUGAAGGUAUUCUCGAAACCUGGUCGUAGUUCGGAUCGAGGGUUGAAACUCACCCUCGUGAAGCUGGAAUCCGUAGUAAUCGCGGAUCAACAUCCCGCGGUGAAUAUGCCCCUGCUCCUUG